UAAUGCAUAGGAAUCUGCCCGAUAGUGGGGGAUAACCUGGGGAAACCCAGGCUAAUACCGCAUACGUCCUACGGGAGAAAGGGGGCUCCGGCUCCCGCUAUGGGAUGAGCCUAUGUCGGAUUAGCUAGUUGGUGAGGUAACGGCUCACCAAGGCCACGAUCCGUAGCUGGUCUGAGAGGAUGAUCAGCCACAUCGGGACUGAGACACGGCCCGAACUCCUACGGGAGGCAGCAGUGGGGAAUAUUGGACAAUGGGGGCAACCCUGAUCCAGCCAUGCCGCGUGUGUGAAGAAGGCCCUCGGGUUGUAAAGCACUUUCAGCGAGGAAGAACGCCUAGCGGUUAAUACCCGCUAGGAAAGACAUCACUCGCAGAAGAAGCACCGGCUAACUCCGUGCCAGCAGCCGCGGUAAUACGGAGGGUGCAAGCGUUAAUCGGAAUUACUGGGCGUAAAGCGCGCGUAGGUGGCUUGAUAAGCCGGUUGUGAAAGCCCCGGGCUCAACCUGGGAACGGCAUCCGGAACUGUCAAGCUAGAGUGCAGGAGAGGAAGGUAGAAUUCCCGGUGUAGCGGUGAAAUGCGUAGAGAUCGGGAGGAAUACCAGUGGCGAAAGGCGGCCUUCUGGACUGACACUGACACUGAGGUGCGAAAGCGUGGGUAGCAAACAGGAUUAGAUACCC
rnacentral:rRNA from 1 species